CCUUCUUUUACCUUCUUUUAUUCCUUUUACGUUUUCCUCACUUUUACCGCACCUAACGCGCAAUCUUUUACAUACUAAAAGCGAGAAAAGUUAGCCUAAAAGAGACAUGUAAAAGAAAAGUAAAAGAGUGUUA
rnacentral:ribozyme from 1 species